GUGAUAUAAUAAUUUCAUUAGGUACUUUCAGUUUGUCUCUGACAAGUACCAAUUUCCGAACAGUGUUAAGCAUUCAGUAACAAUACCAACAAUAAUAACCUUUUCCCACUGUCGCUUAGUUUCCACAAAGGAUUGAUUUCACUGCUCAGAAAUGUUGUUGUGUUUUCAAUUACCACUCCCCACCUUUUCAUCAGACAAAAGCUGGCAUAGAUUAUGAAGGACAGUCAUAGAAAAUUUAGUUUGCUAUGGCUCAGAUCUAGAAGAUGCUCAAAUAUUCCGAAAGAGGAAUUUACAGAAGGCAGAAAGCGAGCAAGAGGAAGGUUUUGCCAGGAAUUUAGAUAAAGAGAUGGCUAUAUUCUUCACUUUAUGCCUUCGUGUUUCUGAUUUGGAGCAUUUCUGUGGCCACUGAAGGCCAGUUUGGUGUCAUAAUGAAGAUGCUGAUAGAGAAAUUGUAAG